ACUGAACCUGCCAUAUCUGCAGCGUAUGUCUGUCGUAAGUUUCACCAGGACUGGUUCUAGCCUGGAAAACUUCCACAUGCAGGAGCAUCAGAGUGCAAAUUUUCUUACAUAAUUUCAUGUUACUGGAAAACACUACGAAUGCUGUGAGAACAGGACGUGGAAUGAGACCUCCAGUUUCUGAUUCUCCUACUUGUUUGUUGACUGAACAACCAGAUUCGCAUUUUAUAUCACUCCCUGAAAGACAGAGAGAGUACAUCAUGAGAAAUGCUGGGCUGGAAAAAGCACAAGCUGGAAUCAAGAUUGCCAGGAGAAAUAUCAAUAACCUCAGAUAUGCAGAUGACACCACCCUUAUGGCAGAAAGUGAAGAGGAACUAAAAAGCCUCUUGAUGAAAGUGAAAGAGAAGAGUGAAAAAGUUGGCUUAAAGCUCAACAUUCAGAAAAACUAGCAUUGAAACAUGUAUAUUACCAAGUGUGAAACAGAUCGCCAGCCCAGGUUGGAUGCAUGAGACAAGUGCUCAGGGCUGGUGCACUGG